rnacentral:rRNA from 1 species
UACUAGAGUAGCACUCGCAUAUCAAUAAGCGGAGGAAAAGAAACUAACAAGGAUUCCCCUAGUAACGGCGAGUGAAGCGGGAAGAGCUCAAAUUUGAAAUCUUAAAGGGUUUCCCUUUACGAAUUGUAGUUUAAAGAAGUGUUUUCUGUUGAGGUUUUGGUAAAAGUUCUUUGGAAUAGGACAUCAUAGAGGGUGAGAAUCCCGUAUUUGACCUUUACUUUCAACUUUGUGAUACACUUUCAAAGAGUCGGAUUGUUUGGGAAUGCAGUCCAAAAUGGGUGGUAAAUUUCAUCUAAAGCUAAAUAUUGGCGAGAGACCGAUAGCGAACAAGUACCGUGAGGGAAAGAUGAAAAGAACUUUGAAAAGAGAGUUAAACAGUACGUGAAAUUGUCAAAAGGGAAGCGUUUGACACCAGUGUUGUUUUUCUGAAAAUCAAUUAAAGAACUGUUUAUGCUAAGUUGUUUAGACUUUAUCAGCUAACUGUUUAGUUUUGAGCCUUUCUUUAAUACACUUUUCAGUUAACAAGUCAACAUCAAUUUCUUUUGCUGUAAAAAAGCUUGAGGAAGGUGGCUUGAGAUUCGUCUUAAGUGUUUAUAGCCCCUUGCCUAUGCAGUCGGAGAGAUUGAGGUCUGCAGCGUAGAUCCUUCGGGGCUAAAUGCAUUUGUGUUAAGUUAUAGCAUUUUAUAGACAACUUGUUGACUAUGAUUUGUCUUGUAGCUUACUCGCUUAUGUUAUUUUACCUACGCUUAGGAUGUUGAACUACUGAGACAUAGA